GGAGAGGUGGCAGAGCGGCUGAAUGCACAUCCUUGCUAAGGAUGCGAGGGGGUAACCCCUCCGAGGGUUCGAAUCCCUCCCUCUCCG
rnacentral:tRNA from 1 species